rnacentral:rRNA from 1 species
GGNNCCCUCAGUAUGGCGAUGACNGGGAUGAGCUCAGUAUGGAAAUUGGGGCCUGUGGCCUUGAAUUGUAGUCUGGAGAUGUACCACCAACUGGGGCGCAGAUGUAAGCCUCUUGGAAAAGAGCAUCAAUGAGGGUGAGAGUCCCGCUUGGCAUCUGCAGUCCCCAGUGCACGGUGUACCUUCUAAGAGUCACGUUCCUCGGGAUUGGAGCGCAAAUCGGGUGGUAAGUUUCAUCUAAAGCUAAAUAUAGUUUCGAGACCGAUAGCAAACAAGUACCAUGAGGGAAAGGUGAAAAGGACUUUGAAAAGAGAGUUAAAAGUGCCUGAAAUUGCUGAAAGGGAAGCGAAUGGAACCAGCGUAACUUGGCGAGAUUGCUGCGUGUCAAUGUGAUUGCUUGCUGCUUCAACGUAAGUGUUGUAGUAAGUCUUGAACAGGACAUGCGCGGUGCUUCUUGCCUUGUGUGUCACCGUCAGUUCGCAACUGGGGAAAACUUCAGGGACAUGGUAGCCUGUCUCCGGGUGGGUGAACGUGUUUGCUGGAACUCAUUUGCGGAUUGCUUGGUGACUAAAUGGUUCCAUCUGACCCGUCUUGAAACACGGACCAAGGAGUCUAACAUAUGUGCAAGUUCACGGGUGUUAAACCUGCUUGCGUAAUGAAAGUGACUGCUGGGAUUUUUGCACCAGCAACCGACCAAUCAAUUGAGAGAGGUUUGAGUAUGAGCAUAUCUGUUAGGACCCGAAAGAUGGUGAACUAUGCCUGUGAAGGGCAAACUCAGGGGAAACUCUGAUGGAGGCUCGUAGCGGUACUGACNG